CCGUUAAUAGUUACAAGUCCUUUGGUGUAUAUGUUCAUUCGAUUUCUAAUCCACUUAGAACACUUACCAUGUUUUAAAGUUUUUGGUCCAAUCAAAAGUAAAUUAAUCUAGUAUAUAUUUAUAAAGCAUGGAGCAUUUAAUGGAUAUGUCCUGCUCUUCCAAGUCUAUAUAAGUUAGAGCAACGUAUGUACCUAGCCAUGAUUCGGUGCAUAGUACGAUCACAAAACAAAUAUAAAUAUAUAUCAUGAUCAUUAGAUAAAAUCUAAUCCUCGUGUGCUCAUGCAAAUUACCAUACGUCGAGGUACACUAGGGAGUUCAGAUCUAAGAUGAAUUGAUACGAUUAUUAAUAAAUCUAAGCUACAAGCUAGCAAAGUAACUACGUAACAUGUACAUCUUGUUGCAACGUUUGGACACUAGAGAGGCAAAAUUUUUUGCCACCCUAAAUUUUCAUCCAACUUAAUCUUGAAAUGGCUCAGACUGGCCAUCAAAUACGAAAAAUUAUGUCUGUGUUUUUCGGUGAAGCAUCCGUUGUUUCUGUCUCUUUCCUGUUUCUUUUUUCCGUUUCCUCUUCUCACCAUUAGGUGACUUUUUUUUCUCUUUUUCUCCCAUUUUUUCUUAUAAUAAAUAAAAAAAUAAAGUAUAAUAUGAGUUUCCUAUUUUUUAACUUUGCAAAAAUACGCUCACGCCCUUUGUGUACCAUAUGUGAGUCUAGAUUUAUGGUUGGUACUCAUAUAAGUAAACAUAACUCACAUUCAAUGUUUUCUGGUCGGCUGGUCGAUCUUGGUCGACUUAGGACCAACCAGUCGAUUAAUCGCGAUUAAUCAGCGAACAGAUCGAUUAAUCGACCUUGGUCAUCCCCUGGUCGUCCCUGGUCGUCUAGGCAUAUUAUCUGGUCG
rnacentral:lncRNA from 1 species